ACGAUUUACAAUAUAUUUGUCUUCAUUACAGGAGAAGAAGAUGAAUUUAAAGGUUCCGAUUAUGUCCCACCAACCUCAUCUGCUAGGAUUUCCGAAAAUGCUACACCGAGCAAUAACAGUCAUAGUUUAACCACUUCAG